GGGUGUAUAGUUCAGUGGUAAAGCGCAUGCUUAGCACGCACGAGGUCCCGGGUUUAAUUCCCUAUACCUCCA
rnacentral:tRNA from 1 species